UACCAUUUAAAAGUAGCUUCAAUAAUAAAAAAUGGCAUUCGAAAAAAAAACAAAUCACCGAAUGACACAUAAUGUAUAGAAUAAAAUCACAUGAAUAUAUAAUAUAUAUUAAGAAAUAUUGACAAUGCGUGAGUGUACAUUCCGAUGAUUAUCAGUACACUGAAAUGCUAGAAUAUCGUACCCAAGGUAUUCAUGUAAUAUGAACAUAUGUAAUGUUAUUGGUUAUAGUCAGUAGUGGGUGCAGGUAGCAAUAGCACACGACUCGUAUUGUGACCGCCACUGCGCUACUGCAGUUCAUUCGUUGAACCUGCUUAGACACAAUACUACUACAAAAAUAAUAAUACAAAAGUACACUCUAUAAUUAUAAUAAAUACUAUAUAAUACGCAAAUCAAAAACAAAUGUUGGUAGAUUUUAUAAAACAUCUUCCCUUAAUGUACAGUUUCAAUAAUUCUAUAUUCCGUAAUAAUCAUGUGUGACCGAUAUGUGUUUGAUGACUUAAAUAUCGCAUUGUUUCUUUUAAAUCUAUUUUCGUCAUCUCUAAAAUGAUGUUUAUUUAUUUUUGUAUUAAACGAUACAAGUAUAAUCAAAUUAAAAUAGACAAAACACAAAAUUGUCUUGAAAAGUUAAGUAACAGUGGGUUUAAUAUCCUCAAGUGUCAUUUAUUAAAGUAUAUACGACGAUUGACUGAGUUAUUAUUAAUAAUUUUAUCGAUAACAAUGCUUGAAUCAUGUGCAUAUUUUAUUUGACCAUAAUUAUUUCGAGGUUAUGUUAUUAAACGGAAAGAAUGUGAUGAUUUAAUUACUUCCGUGACUAAAAAUAUUAAAAAACAAAGUGGAGUUAAAGUUUUAGACAAAAAAAACAAAUAUUUUUGUUUACAUUCUAACUCUUAUUUUUUAUUCACAUUAAUAACAAAGACAUGUAAUUUUUACAUUAUAACUGGCGGGAAAAUUUUAAAUACCGUCAAUUAUGAUUUAUGAGAAUUUUAAAUGACGCGGUAGACGUCAUUAUUGAUAAAGAUAAUCAUAGCAUGGAGCAUUAUUACAAACGCUUGAACUAACAGAAUGUCAGUUCAAAUGAAACACAUUUAGUUAAAAUAAUAUCCUGUAUCAUUGGAGUCGAUGCAGACGUCAUCGCGUGGAAACACCCGGGUGUCAAACUCAGGCCCGUUCACGCCUCCUGAUUUAUCAUCAAUACCUCAUAUGGAUGGAACUGUUACACCUAACCAGACAAAUAGUAUCAAUAGCAUAACAUCAGAAGAUGUACCAGUAACAGCUGAUGGUGUUGUUGAUUCCGAUUCUGGUCCCUAUAUUGUUGGUAGUCCAAUCGAUCUGAGUAAUAUAGAUAAUGUUGAUAACAUUAGCCUUCGAAUUGGUUCUAUUCGUGGUAUUAUAAGAGGUGGAGGUAAGGAAGGAAAAAGAAGAAGACGAACUCGAGAACACAUUGAACUUGAAGAAUCUAAUACUUUAGAAUCACAACCUCCAGUAGGUAGUAGUAGAACGGAAAAUGGAUCUCAAAAUGGUGAUAGACAGACAGUACCACAGGAAGAUCAAGAAGAAAGAAUAGUAUUUGUAAAUGCUCCUCAUCAACCAGCCAAAUAUAGAAAUAAUCAUAUAACAACAGCUAAAUAUUCUAUACUUUCUUUCAUACCGUCUUUUCUUUUUGAACAAUUUCGUCGAUACAGUAACUGUUUCUUCCUCUUCAUAGCACUUAUGCAACAAAUACCUGAUGUAUCACCUACAGGACGAUAUACAACUCUCGUACCACUUAUUUUUAUUCUUAGUGUAUCAGCUCUCAAGGAAAUAGUAGAAGAUUUUAAAAGACAUAGAGCUGAUGAUGAAAUAAAUAAAAGGAAAGUGGAAGUGUUAAGGGAUGGAAAAUGGCAGUGGAUUCAAUGGUAUACAGUUGCUGUAGGUGAUGUUGUUAAAGUCCAUAACAAUAACUUUUUUCCUGCUGAUCUAAUCCUUUUAUCAUCAUCUGAACCUCAAGGAAUAUCAUUCAUAGAAACAGCUAACUUAGACGGGGAAACAAACUUAAAAAUUCGUCAAGCUCAUCCAGAGACAUCUACGCUCAUUGAUACUGCUGAGUUGAUGAAUUUUCAUGCUAAUAUCCAAUGCGAACCUCCUAAUCGUCAUCUCUAUGAAUUCAAUGGUAUUUUACGUGAGACAAACAAAAAAAGUGUUGCCCUAGGCCCAGAUCAAUUAUUAUUACGUGGAGCAAUAUUAAGAAAUACCAAGUGGGCAUUUGGUGUUGUAAUUUACACUGGACAUGAUACAAAAUUAAUGCAAAAUAAUACUGCAACAGCACCAUUAAAACGCUCAACAUUAGAUCGUUUAACAAACACCCAAGUGCUUAUGCUUUUUUUUAUUCUUGUUCUACUGUGCCUUUUUUCAGCUGUAUUUAAUGUUCUCUGGACAAAUGCUCAUCAGUCUGGUCUCUGGUAUUUAGGCCUACAGGAUGCAAUGACAAAAAAUUUUGCAUUUAAUCUCCUUACAUUUAUUAUUUUAUUCAAUAAUUUAAUACCAAUAUCACUCCAAGUUACAUUAGAAGUCGUGAGAUAUAUUCAAGCGACAUUUAUCAAUAUGGAUAUUGAAAUGUAUCAUGCUGAAUCUAAUACACCUGCAAUGGCAAGAACAAGUAACUUGAAUGAAGAGCUUGGUAUGGUAAACUAUGUGUUUACUGAUAAAACUGGAACACUUACAAAAAAUGUUAUGGAAUUUAAAAGAUGUUCAAUAGCUGGUAAAAUAUAUGAUUUACCAAAUCUUUCAGCACCUGGUAAUAGUUCAUUUGACUGUGAUUUAGUAAAAACUUUAAUGGAAAGUCGUAUGAAACAAGAUAGUAACAGUGUAUUAACUGGAAAUGAUAAAAAGAAAUUAAUUUCUUCAGCAUUUAUUCAUGAAUUUAUGGUAAUGUUAUCUGUUUGUCAUACAGUUAUACCUGAAAUUGUAAAUGAUGAAAUUAUUUAUCACGCAGCAUCGCCCGAUGAAAGAGCUUUAGUUGAUGGGGCAAGAAGGUUUGGGUAUAUUUUUGAUAUAAGAACCCCCGCAUAUGUAGAAAUUGUUGCUUUGGGUGAAAGAUUGCGUUAUGAAAUUCUAAAUGUUAUUGAAUUUACAUCAGCACGUAAACGUAUGUCUGUUAUAGUACGAACUCCUGAAGGUAAAAUAAAAAUAUUUUGUAAAGGUGCUGAUUCUGUUAUAUACGAAAGGUUGGCAUCAAGGCCUACUGAAACAAGUGACAUUGAGUUUGAUGAUUAUGAUGAUUUUCGACAAACAACACUUGAACAUUUGGAAACUUUUGCUUCUGAAGGUUUGAGAACUUUAUGUUUUGCAGUUGCUGAUAUACCGGAAACCCGAUAUGAUUGGUGGCAUGAAAUUUAUCAUAAAGCUUCAACCACAUUAUCAGGAAAAGAGUCAAAAUUAGAAGAAGCUGCUGAUUUGAUUGAAACUAAAUUAACAUUGUUAGGAGCAACUGCUAUUGAAGACCAUCUACAGGAUCAAGUACCCGAAACGUUACAAGCACUUAUUCAAGCUGAUAUUAAUGUUUGGGUUUUAACUGGAGAUAAACAAGAGACUGCUAUAAACAUUGGAUACUCAUGUCGUUUAAUAACACAAUCAAUGCCAUUGAUUAUUGUAAAUGAAAAUUCUUUAGACAAAACCCGUGAUGUUAUUAUUCAACAUUGUACUGAUUUUGGGCAAGAUUUACGUUGCCAAAAUGACGUUGGAUUAGUUAUAGACGGGAAUAGUUUGAAAUAUGCUCUCUCCUGUGAUCUUAAAAGAGAUUUUUUAGAUUUAUGUACUUCUUGUAAAGUUGUCAUAUGCUGUCGUGUAUCACCUAUGCAAAAAGCUGAAGUCGUUGAUUUGGUUACAAGUAAUACUAAAGCUGUUACUCUUGCUAUUGGUGAUGGCGCUAAUGAUGUAGCAAUGAUACAAAAAGCACACAUCGGUGUUGGAAUUUCUGGGGUUGAAGGACUUCAAGCUGCCUGUGCAUCAGACUAUUCAAUUGCCCAAUUCCGAUUUCUAAAACGAUUAUUAUUUGUACAUGGAUCAUGGAAUUAUAAUAGAAUGUGCAAACUUAUUUUAUAUUCUUUUUAUAAAAAUAUUUGUCUUUAUGUUAUCGAAUUAUGGUUUGCGAUGUACUCAGGAUGGUCUGGACAAAUAUUAUUUGAAAGAUGGUCUAUAGGUAUUUAUAAUGUAAUCUUUACUGCAGCACCACCACUUGCAAUGGGUCUUUUCGAUAAAGUUUGCUCUGCUGAAACUCAUCUAGCUCAUCCAAGAUUAUAUGCUGCCAAGAACGAAUCAACAUUUAAUAUCAAGGUAUUCUGGAUUUGGAUUUUGAAUGCAUUGGUUCAUUCAUCCCUAUUAUAUUGGCUGUCAUUAUUGGCAUUAGAACAUGAAAUUAUAUGGGCAAACGGUCGAGAUGGUGGAUAUAUAGUUUUAGGAAAUUUUGUAUACACAUACGUGGUGGUAACAGUUUGUGGAAAAGCAGGACUUGUCACAAACUCUUGGACGUGGUUUACUCAUUUAGCAACGUGGGGAUCCAUCAUUCUUUGGUUUUUAUUUAUUUUCAUUUACAGUAACUUCUGGCCAGUAUUAAAUGUUGGUGCUGUAAUGUUGGGCAAUGAUAAAAUGCUUUUUUCAUCACCAGUUUUCUGGUUGGGUCUGAUUUUAAUACCUACCGCAGUUUUACUUAUUGAUGUGACAGUCAAAGCAGUGAAAAAUACUAUUUUUAAAUCAUUAACCGAAGCGGCAAGAGAACAAGAGAUUAAAAAAUCUGAUCCAGGAGAUUUAUUUACAAAUCAAGAUUAUAGGAGCUCUGGUAACCUGUACAGACCUGUGCAUGCAAUCGCCGAGCUCGCUAGGUAUUGACGGAGACCGCAAGGCUAUUGAAAAAUGUUAAAAGUGUUUUUACUCGACGAUCCAAUGCAGCUACAAGAGUUAAUGUUGAAGUUGAAUUAUCACAUGGAUUUGCGUUUUCGCA
rnacentral:misc_RNA from 1 species